rnacentral:rRNA from 1 species
CUUGGCCUACGGGGCGCAGCAGUAGGGAAUCUUCCACAAUGGGCGCAAGCCUGAUGGAGCAACACCGCGUGAGUGAAGAAGGGUUUCGGCUCGUAAAGCUCUGUUGUUGGGGAAGAACGUGCGUGAGAGUAACUGUUCACGCAGUGACGGUAUCCAACCAGAAAGUCACGGCUAACUACGUGCCAGCAGCCGCGGUCAUACGUAGGUGGCAAGCGUUGUCCGGAUUUAUUGGG